CAUUGGGUCAUCUAUAGGGUCAUUGGGUCAUCCUGGGGGUCAUCAGGUCAGCUGUGGGGUCAUCAGGUCAUCCAUGGGGUCAUUGGGUCAUCUAUAGGGUCGUUGGGUCAUCCAUAGGGUCAUCAGGUCAGCUGUGGGGUCAUCAGGUCAUCCAUGGGGUCAUUGGGUCAGCUGUGGGGUCAUCAGGUCAUCCAUGGGGUCAUUGGGUCAGCUGUGGGGUCAUUGGGUCAUCUAUAGGGUCGUUGGGUCAUCCUGGGGGUCAUCAGGUCAGCUGUGGGGUCAUCAGGUCAUCCAUGGGGUCAUUGGGUCAUCUAUAGGGUCGUUGGGUCAUCCAUAGGGUCAUCAGGUCAGCUGUGGGGUCAUUGGGUCAUCUAUAGGGUCGCUGGGUCGUCCAUGGGGUCAUCGGGUCAGCUGUGGGGUCAUCAGGUCAUCCAUGGGGUCAUUGGGUCAUCCAUAGGGUUGCUGGGUCAUCCAUGGGGUCAUCGGGUCAGCUGUGGGGUCAU